rnacentral:rRNA from 1 species
GAUGAACGCUGGCGGCGUGCCUAAUACAUGCAAGUCGAGCGAACGGACGAGAAGCUUGCUUCUCUGAUGUUAGCGGCGGACGGGUGAGUAACACGUGGAUAACCUACCUAUAAGACUGGGAUAACUUCGGGAAACCGGAGCUAAUACCGGAUGAUAUUUUGAACCGCAUGGUUCAAAAGUGAAAGACGGUCUUGCUGUCUCUUAUAGAUGGAUCCGCGCUGUAUUAGCUAGUUGGUAAGGUAACGGCUUACCAAGGCAACGAUGCAUAGCCGACCUGAGAGAGUGAUCGGCCACACUGGAACGGAGACACGGUCCAGACUCCUAAGGUAGGCAGCAGUAGGGAAUCUGCCGCAAUGGGCGAAAGCCUUGCGGAGCAACGCCGCGCGAGUGAGGAAGGUCUUCGGAUCGUAAAACUCUGUUAUUAGGGAAGAACAUAUGUGUAAGUAACUGUGCACAUCUUGACGGUACCUAAUCAGAAAGCCACGGCUAACUACGUG